GCUCGCUUCAUCAGCCAUGUACUAACAUCAGAACGAUACAGAGAAGCUUAGCAUGCCCCCUGCGCAAGGAAGACACGCAAGUUCAUGAAGCGUUCCAUAUUUUU
ensembl:snRNA LOC120103198 U6 spliceosomal RNA